rfam:Gossypium hirsutum cultivar TM-1 chromosome 16, whole genome shotgun sequence
AGUCCGUGAUGAGAACACUUUCUCAACAAAUCUUUAAAUCUCUCCCAUGUAUCGUAAAGUGUCUCAAUAUCAAAUUGAACAAAAGAAAAUAUAUCAUUCCUCAACUU